AUGCUAGUUUGCCUUGUGGCCUUGCCUCUGC
rnacentral:piRNA from 1 species